CUCGACGCUUAGGGCAUCCUUCUUUUGCUUUGUUAGAGCGCUUAUUUCCUAGUUUAGUCAGUCAGUAGACCUACGUCCACCGGUGAAGCUCCACUAUGGAGAUCACAAGAUUAGACAACAAACCUUCCACAAGUAAGAAAACCCCUGAUCAGACGUUGGUGGAUUGUGUAAUCAAGCUCCCAUUUCCUCCAAAUCUCCUUCCACUCUGAAAGAUCCCUCUUUUACACCUCCGGAAGACCUACCCGAUCGCAAAUCAAUCAACUUGACUCCACCCUUGCAAACACAGAAGACUAAUGGAGGACCGCCCAUCCCAUCGACUAUAUCUCCCCACUCCCAGAGUCUACCUCCGCUACAAAACCGCCCUCUUCCUUUUCCUAGCCUUCAUCGAUAUCGUAUGCGGUUUAUCGGAAUCAGAAAGAUCAUAUAUUCAAUUACUUAAUCCGU
rnacentral:lncRNA from 1 species